CAGCAGCCGCGGUAAUACGGAGGGUGCGAGCGUUAAUCGGAAUUACUGGGCGUAAAGCGUACGCAGGCGGUUUGUUAAGCGAGAUGUGAAAGCCCCGGGCUCAACCUGGGAACUGCAUUUCGAACUGGCAAACUAGAGUGUGAUAGAGGGUGGUAGAAUUUCAGGUGUAGCGGUGAAAUGCGUAGAGAUCUGAAGGAAUACCGAUGGCGAAGGCAGCCACCUGGGUCAACACUGACGCUCAUGUACGAAAGCGUGGGGAGCAAACAGGAUUAGAUACCCUGGUAGUCCACGCCGUAAACGAUGUCUACUAGAAGCUCGGAACCUCGGUUCUGUUUUUCAAAGCUAACGCAUUAAGUAGACCGCCUGGGGAGUACGGCCGCCAGGUUAAAACUCAAAUGAAUUGACGGGGGCCCGCACAAGCGGUGGAGCAUGUGGUUUAAUUCGAUGCCACGCGAAGAACCUUACCUACACUUGAC
rnacentral:rRNA from 1 species